ensembl:lncRNA
AACGUACACGAACACUCUUUAUUUCGGAAGAAGGGAAGGUUUACGUAAAGACACGUAAGAGCUUCCGAACCUCCGAGCUGCUUUGAAGCUCGCAUCAGAAUGAAGGCAUGCGAGUUUGACUGACAGGCUUCCUGUCCAAUCCUAGCACUUGAGGCGGGACCUUUCCUGGAUUUUGCAUACGAUAAACACAUUUGCGAUCGCAUAUCAAAAACAUGGCGAGAGGAGGGUUCAAGAAGUCAUGCCCUGCAUGUCAGGCAAACAUCUUUAAUGGCUGUAAAGUGUGCCCCAUGUGCAAGGCACCACAGCCACAAAAACUGAGGCUUAAAAAAAAACUUGAAAAGUUUAAAAAAGAAAAAGAUACUUGGGUGGCCAACACAAAGAAAAACCAGAUCACCUCGCACCUGAUGGAUGAUGCGGUCAUUCUGAUGGAGAAGCUGAAUGCGGUGGGCUGGAAGCCCAUCCUCCUUCUGGAAUAUCCGAAGAAGGAGGCAAGGAUGCUCCUCCCAGAAGGCCUCGUUCCAAGUGUGGGGGGAAAGGAAAUGUCUCGAUGACAUUGAAGAAAUGUACACCUUCAUGAUUGAAGCUCUUUCAGAAACUCUCCUUUCAGCCAGCCCCACCACCACCACCACCACCACCACCACCACCAUUGAGGGCCCAGAGACUGGGGUUAAACCUGAGACGGUGGAGACUGUCCUGUCAGCCAGCCCUACCACCAACAACUGGGGGACAGAGCCUGGCAACAAACGGAAGAGACGCCCAAGUACAAAAGUGAAGAAGGUUCUGUCCACAAGCCCCAACACCACCACCAACGGGGGGCGAGAGACUGAGACAGUGGAGACUGUCCUGUCAGCCAGCCCUGCCAUCACCACCAACGACUGGCAAAAUACAAAACAGACGCCCAAGGACACACAACCAAUACCACCCCUCCCCCCACCUAUACUCCACAGUUGUACUUAAAAAGGACUUGACAAUGUUUUCUUAAAAAUGUGUUUUUUAUACAGUGUUUUAUUCUGUAUUUAUACUAUUCCUUGUGUGACUGUUUGUGUGAGCAUUGUUUUAGAGGCUGCAUAAACAGAUUUCAUUGUACGGUUUUAUUGCACAAUGACAAUAAAGAAUAAACAUGCCACUAUUUGCUUAUGUCAAACAGUUUCUAAAGAGGAAAAGGAUUGCCCCCACAACAGCCAGAAGGUGCACCAGUACACACACAUAAUCACACAAAGAAAGAUACGGUUAUUUUCAUGCACAAUAAAAUUGCAAAGAAAACAAUAGAUGAUUUACCAAUACUGCUUGAUCACUUUUUUUUAUUUUUUAUAAUGGCACUGCAGAAUAAUGUCUCAGUGAUCCUAUC